CAGUCGAGCGGAUGAAGGGAGCUUGCUCCUGGAUUCAGCGGCGGACGGGUGAGUAAUGCCUAGGAAUCUGCCUGGUAGUGGGGGAUAACGUCCGGAAACGGGCGCUAAUACCGCAUACGUCCUGAGGGAGAAAGUGGGGGAUCUUCGGACCUCACGCUAUCAGAUGAGCCUAGGUCGGAUUAGCUAGUUGGUGGGGUAAAGGCCUACCAAGGCGACGAUCCGUAACUGGUCUGAGAGGAUGAUCAGUCACACUGGAACUGAGACACGGUCCAGACUCCUACGGGAGGCAGCAGUGGGGAAUAUUGGACAAUGGGCGAAAGCCUGAUCCAGCCAUGCCGCGUGUGUGAAGAAGGUCUUCGGAUUGUAAAGCACUUUAAGUUGGGAGGAAGGGCAGUAAGUUAAUACCUUGCUGUUUUGACGUUACCAACAGAAUAAGCACCGGCUAACUUCGUGCCAGCAGCCGCGGUAAUACGAAGGGUGCAAGCGUUAAUCGGAAUUACUGGGCGUAAAGCGCGCGUAGGUGGUUCAGCAAGUUGGAUGUGAAAUCCCCGGGCUCAACCUGGGAACUGCAUCCAAAACUACUGAGCUAGAGUACGGUAGAGGGUGGUGGAAUUUCCUGUGUAGCGGUGAAAUGCGUAGAUAUAGGAAGGAACACCAGUGGCGAAGGCGACCACCUGGACUGAUACUGACACUGAGGUGCGAAAGCGUGGGGAGCAAACAGGAUUAGAUACCCUGGUAGUCCACGCCGUAAACGAUGUCGACUAGCCGUUGGGAUCCUUGAGAUCUUAGUGGCGCAGCUAACGCGAUAAGUCGACCGCCUGGGGAGUACGGCCGCAAGGUUAAAACUCAAAUGAAUUGACGGGGGCCCGCACAAACGCUGAACCAUGUGUUUUAAUUCGAAGCUACGCGUAAGAACCUUACCUGGUCUUGACAUGCUGAGAACUUUCCAGAGAUGAAUUGGUGCCUUCGGGAACUCAGACACAGG
rnacentral:rRNA from 2 species